UAUUUGGGUGGUUUCCAUCUGGGGACAGUGAUAAGUCAGUACUUAUUGUCAGUUUUGUUUGCAAGCAUUUGAAUACAUGUGCAUUGGUAUCUCGUACUUUUAAUUUACAUUUUCUUAAUAACCAGGUAUGUUUAGCAUCUUUUCAUGUCCUUAUUUGCUAUCAUCUUUAUAUCCAUUUUGGUAAAUGUGUGUUCAAAUAUUUUGUACAUUUUCGCAGUUGGGUUUUUUUUUCUUUUUCUAAAAAAAUAUUUUAAUGUUUAUUUUUGAGAGAGAUAGAGUGUGAGUGGGGAAGGGGCAGAGAGAGAGAGGGAGACACGGAAUCUGAAACAGGCUCUAAGCUCUGAGCUGUCAGCAACCGAGUUCGACUCAGGGCUCGAACUCCGUAAUGGCGAGAUAAUGGCCUAGGCUGAAGUCACAUGCUUAACCUACUGAUCCACCCAGGCACCCCCUUAAUGGUGUCUUCUAAAGAGAAGUGUUUUAAUUUUGAUGAAGUUCAGGUGAUCAGUUUUUUUCUUUUAUGUAUCAUACUUUUAUUAUUGUUGUAAUUCCAAAAUUUUUGUGUAGCCCAAGAUCACAAAUAUUUUCUUAUACGUUUUCUUCUAUAAGCUUUAUUGUUGUUAGUCUUAAAUUUAGGUCUGUGACUAGUUUUUAGUUAAUUUUUGUACAUAGUGCAAAGUAUUGGACCGAGGUUUUUUGUUUUUUGUUUGCAUAUGGACAUAUCAGUUCUAUUAUCUGUUGAAAGGACUAUUUUCAAAUAAUUUUUAUGUUUAAAUGUAAUACAUUUAUAUGAUUUUUAAGAAUUCAAACAGUACAAAGGGUUCACAGUAAAAAUUCCGUCUUUUUCUCACCUUUGCCCCCAGCUCCUCUCCUUCAAAGGUAACCAGUGUUACCACAGAGAUUCUAUGCCAUGUACAUGUCUCUCUGCUGCUGCUUUUUUGGGGGAAAAAACCAUGUUUUCUCAAAAUACUAGGCAGAGUGAUACUGUUAAAAAGUUUUGUUCAUAGAACACUCCACUCAAAGCUUCCCCAGGCCAUAAAUGAUCUUUAUUUGUAUCCUGUCCAUGCUCUCAUGUAUACACACACGCGCGCACACACACACAUACACAAUUUCACUGCCUUCCUCCCCUACUUCUCUCCUCCUUACUUCUCUCUGACCACCCUGCCUGCCAUUGCUACCGUUUUCACAUACACCAUACAUGUUUGUACCCCAGGGCCUUUGUACUUGCUAAUCCUUUGGCCUGGAAUUCUUUUUUCAGAUAUCUGUUAUAAGACUUCCUUCUUAACAUUCUUUACAGGCUUUAUUUGCUCAAAUGUCACCUUCCUCACUCUAGUUGUUUUUUGUUUUUUUUUUU